rnacentral:lncRNA from 1 species
UACAAAGGCGUUUAGUUUAUUCUCAUCAGUAUCACUGAUAUUCUCAUGGUUCACAUUUGCCAACGCCGCUCCUCUCCUUACAGUAGUUAAAUGUGCAAUCUCACUUGGGGGCCCAGGGAGGGAUGGGGGCUCGGCCCAGGGUGGGGAGGGCGUUGGCACUUCACGUGGACAGGGUGGGCAGCCUGUCCUACGUGAAAGAGGUGUGGGUGAGUGGGCGGCCAGGGAAGGGGAGUUGGCAGGGGAGGGCCCCACAGUCUUUUUUCUCUGGUGGUUGGUGAUUCUCCAUUCAGACUCCUUCCUGGCUGCCCAGGGUGGGGGAACCAUGCAGCUCAGGGCAGGACAGGGGAGGAAGAGAAGGAAAAAGCAGCAGGCCGCCCGGGGGGAGGGGUGGAGGGUGAAUGGCAGGGCAAGGGGGGCACAGGGGUGGCUCCUGGGGUAAGGCACAACCCUGUCUUUGGCUCUCCUGGUGAGGAGUUUCCUCCCCUGCACCCCCUGCCCCACCCUUCUUCCCCCCCAUCCCCCAGACCCACACACAGUCCCGGGAGCCAGGGGGCACCUCCUGGGGUCCCUGAAACAAGUGGGCUCUGCCACCCAAGCCAGUGCCACAGGGGCUCGAAGAGGGACACCCAAGGAAAAGGCAGAGAGGGGCAGGCAGGGGCCUACCCAGGACAAGGGGUGGGGGAGCUUCCUUUCGGGGGUCUGGCUGGAGCCCCGGUCUGCCCCUCGGCCUCUGUCAGGCCCAGCUGCUUGCCAAGUGACCAGGGCAUUGUGCUUUGGGGUAAACGCUGGGGUGGGGUGGCAGGCCAGGAGGCAGGGGGAGAGGAGGGGCGACUAAGGUGCUUGUGCUUUAGCUGGGGGUGUCAACAUCCCCCACUCAGACCGGCUGGGGGCUAAGGUGCCAGGCCCCAGCCAGGAAGACAGUGCCAAGACCCCAGCCAGACCCUGGCACUCAUGACUGACCCCCGCAACAAGCAGAUGUUAAAAGGGACCCCCAGUAGGCCGGUGGGGCUGCUGGUCCCAUCAGGGGGAUGGUCUCCGAAUCAGAUUCCAAGGGUCCAGUCGGGGCUGGCCCCCACUCCAUCUCCUGAAAUCCCCCUGCCCCUGGAGAGACCCCUGGGAGCAGUGGGUAGGCAGGGGUUGGGGAGGCAGAGGGGAGGCAGAGGAGAGGCAGAGGAGAGGCAGGGAGGACGAGGGCCAGAAACACAAACAAGGAUGUGGAUGGUGAAAUGACACCCCGCGUAGGGGGAUGGGGAGUUUAAAAAAAAAACUCUCUGCCUUCACAUGAAAAUCUAAAACAACAACAAAAAACCACCCACUCUGGGUGAGAACAAAAAGAGAGGAAUGGUAAAAGAGAAAAUUCUGCAAACAACUGCUAACAAUGGAAGUGGACCCGGCCGGCCCGGCCCUGCCCUGCCCUGCCCUGCCCUGCCCAGCCCAGCCCAGCCGCCAGGAGCUGGGCCCAGCCAACCAACCAAGGCCUGGGACGCCCUUAAACUAUAGCCCUGUU